rnacentral:rRNA from 1 species
UAACUACUGGAAACGGUAGCUAAUACCGCAUAACGUCGCAAGACCAAAGAGGGGGACCUUCGGGCCUCUUGCCAUCGGAUGUGCCCAGAUGGGAUUAGCUAGUAGGUGGGGUAACGGCUCACCUAGGCGACGAUCCCUAGCUGGUCUGAGAGGAUGACCAGCCACACUGGAACUGAGACACGGUCCAGACUCCUACGGGAGGCAGCAGUGGGGAAUAUUGCACAAUGGGCGCAAGCCUGAUGCAGCCAUGCCGCGUGUAUGAAGAAGGCCUUCGGGUUGUAAAGUACUUUCAGCGGGGAGGAAGGGAGUAAAGUUAAUACCUUUGCUCAUUGACGUUACCCGCAGAAGAAGCACCGGCUAACUCCGUGCCAGCAGCCGCGGUAAUACGGAGGGUGCAAGCGUUAAUCGGAAUUACUGGGCGUAAAGCGCACGCAGGCGGUUUGUUAAGUCAGAUGUGAAAUCCCCGGGCUCAACCUGGGAACUGCAUCUGAUACUGGGCAAGCUUGAGUCUCGUAGAGGGGGGGUAGAAUUCCAGGUGUAGCGGUGAAAUGC